AAGUUCUGGUUUCUCUUCAGAACAAAAAAUAUUUUGCCUUUUACUAAAGAUUCCCAUGGGGAGAAAUGGUGACGAGUUGUUGACAAACUUUUUGAAGUUUUCUUUCAUAAGAUUA
rnacentral:snRNA from 1 species